GACGAACGCUGGCGGCGUGCUUAACACAUGCAAGUCGAACGGUGAAAGCGGAGCUUGCUCCGCUGGAUCAGUGGCGAACGGGUGAGUAACACGUGAGUAACCUGCCCUUGACUCUGGGAUAACUGCGGGAAACUGUAGCUAAUACCGGAUACGACCCUCGGCGGCAUCGCCAGGGGGUGGAAAGAAUUUCGGUCAAGGAUGGACUCGCGGCCUAUCAGCUAGUUGGUGAGGUAACGGCUCACCAAGGCGACGACGGGUAGCCGGCCUGAGAGGGUGACCGGCCACACUGGGACUGAGACACGGCCCAGACUCCUACGGGAGGCAGCAGUGGGGAAUAUUGCACAAUGGGCGCAAGCCUGAUGCAGCAACGCCGCGUGAGGGAUGACGGCCUUCGGGUUGUAAACCUCUUUUAGUAGGGAAGAAGCGAAAGUGACGGUACCUGCGGAAAAAGCACCGGCUAACUACGUGCCAGCCGCCGCCGUAA
rnacentral:rRNA from 1 species